GAAACACUCAGCAUCUCAUGUAAAGCUGUUGGCUAUGAUUUUGGUAGCUAUGGUUUGAGUUGGGUUCGUCAACCGGCUGGAGGGCCUCUCACUUGGAUUGGACACAUCAGAACAGACACUGGGGAAACAUGAUCAUGGAGCACGCCCGAGCCAUGCCACUCACAUCAGCCUCCUCAACACAAACAUGUUUCCUGAUGCUUAUACUGGUGGUGACAUGGGUAGAUUGUGCUAUUGAACACACUCAGCCCAGCUCCAUCAUGGUAAAGCCAGGAGAGUCUCUGACAGUUACCUGCAAAGUGACUGGAGCUUCCAUUACAGAUAGCAGCUACUAUGGAACAGCCUGGAUCCGUCAGGCAGCAGGGAAACCUCUAGAGUGGAUCAACACGCUCUACUAUGAAGAAAGCAAAAAUGAAAACAAUGCCCUGAAAAACAAGUUCAGCAUCUCCAGAGACACCUCCAGCAGCACUGUAACUCUACAGGGCUAGAAUCUACAGGCUGGAGACACAGCUGUGUAUUACUGUGCCC